CAAAUUCCCAAAGUGCCUUCCCAACCCGCUGACACUGCAGUAAAGGGAUGAGGUGCAGAGAGAGCCACGGGGUGCAGUGAAGGGAUGAGGUGCAGAGAGAGCCACGGGGUGCAGUAAAGGGAUGAGGUACAGAGAGAGCCACAGGGUGCAGUGAAGGGAUGAGGUGCAGAGAGAGCCACGGGGUGCAGUGAAGGGAUGAGGUACAGAGAGAGCCACGGGGUGCAGUGAAGGGAUGAGGUGCAGAGAGAGCCACGGGGUGCAGUGAAGGGAUGAGGUACAGAGAGAGCCACGGGGUGCAGUGAAGGGAUGAGGUACAGAGAGAGCCCCGGGGUGCAGUGAAGGGAUGAGGUACAGAGAGAGCCCCGGGGUGCAGUGAAGGGAUGAGGUACAGAGAGAGCCCCGGG
ensembl:lncRNA